rnacentral:rRNA from 1 species
UACGAAGGGGGCUAGCGUUGCUCGGAAUCACUGGGCGUAAAGCGCACGUAGGCGGACUCUUAAGUCAGGGGUGAAAUCCUGGAGCUCAACUCCAGAACUGCCUUUGAUACUGGGAGUCUUGAGUUCGGGAGAGGUGAGUGGAACUGCGAGUGUAGAGGUGAAAUUCGUAGAUAUUCGGAAGAACACCAGUGGCGAAGGCGACUAACUGGACAUGUAUUGACGCUGAGGUGCGAAAGCGUGGGGAGCAAACAGG